rnacentral:tRNA from 1 species
GUUUGAAUAGUUUAACAAAAACAUUGGUCUUGUAAAUCAAAAAUAAGAAAUUAUUCUUUUUAAACU